rnacentral:misc_RNA from 1 species
UGAAUUACUGGAGAAAGAUGACUUGGAAUUUGGUUUCAGAUAAGAAACUUCGGAAGAUCCUCCCCUUGAACAUUACUUCCAGAAAGGCCUUUGCAUGUUCGAUGGUGUAUUUUACUCGAAUUGAGGGACUAGAAAACGAGGGCGCCAGGUAUUUCAGAAAUCAUAGCAAAGGACCACUUGGCUGCUUACACAGAAUUAUUGCAACAUUUGGGAA